rnacentral:lncRNA from 9 species
AUGAUAUCACCUGUGCCCUCCCCUCUGAGUCUGUCCAUUGAUCUGGGUGGAAACAUCAAUACUAUUCUAAUUAACUUAACUGCUCCAGGUGCUUCUAGGGUGAGAUCAGGAUUAACCGUGAGAGUGACUGCGUAUAUCUGUGAGAGCUGCAUCCAGGCUUUGGUCCAAGGAGAGAUAACAGAAUCUGCUCUACUUCGGUUUAGAAAUGACAGGACUUUGGUGCUGAUUCUGUGAAAGCUUAUGGAUGGACAAAGUGAGUAGCAUAGACUCUACUGCAGUCCUCUGGGGCUACUGACCCAGGAUUUCUCUUUUGUAUCUCAACUCUAAAUUGAAGUGAGUAUGUCCAGGGAUCUCCUGCAGCAAGAGGAGGAAUUCCCAGUUCCCAGCAAGUAUGCUCCCUUACUAUAAUACAUUCAAAGUACCUUCUCAUUUUGAAGAGCUUAAAUACUACUUUGCUGUUAUGAUGAUUUUUGUCCUCUCAUCCACAAGCAUGCAUACACAAUUAUAGUGACACAGACCCUCCCUCCCAGCCAAGGCCUUUUAGCAUAUGGCAAAAGAGCACAGGUGGACUUCUGGUGUCCAAUUUUGCAUAUAAGAAGACUGGAAGUCACUACACAGUCCUAAAAACAAGUAAGAAGCUGAACAGAUUGAAAAAUCUACAACUCACCCUAAAAGAGGAAAGCCACAGGGCAAACUGUUGCCCUCAAAACUGGAGAGACAUCAAAGCAAAUACAUAGAGGCUACAGGAACAGAGGCUCAUCAGCAGAAACUGCUGCAGGAACCAGUGCUGAGGUAGGAAAACCUAAACUAUGGUUGAUACAUUUCUGGAAAUUCUUGGUAGACAAAUCUGAGAGUUAAAAAUUCCAAGGGGACCUCAAGUCAUGGGGAUAUCCCCAAAAUAUUUUGAGAUUUAUCUUUAAGAGUUUGCCCAUAUUCUCAUAAUAAAUGUCUAAGAAAAAUCCUCUGAGUCUUCCUACAAUGGAAGGAGGUGAAGGAACCAUUGUGAAAUACCCAAGAGUAUGAAUUUCUCUCACUUUUUGAAAGCAGGGCAUUUCUACGGAACCUUUCGUAAACUGAAAUGUGUAAGGUGAAGAAGCAAUUACCUUAGGACAUGUUUUGCUAACAGAUCCAGAAAAUAAAGCAAAAUAAAGCACAGAUGCUCACAGGCACAACUCAAAGCUGUGAUGGCUUGAUGCUGAGACCUGAAUGUGGUUCCUGGGGAAGGAGUUUGGUAGGGCCACUCUCCUUUCUCCGAGUAUAUGCUGCCUCUGUAUGGUUCACUGCAAAACAAACACUGAACACAGACAAAAGCUAUUUCUGCUUUUUGCCUUUUUCUAUAAAUGUGAGAAUCCUCUUUGGAUUUCUUUUGGUUAGUUAAAACAGGUACUAAGGUAAGUCUCUCAUAAAGGUGAAGUAGUAUAAAGUGAACUUUCAAAAAGCAGGGGAUACCUAUAAUCUAUAAUUUUUAAUAAAGCUUGCAAUCAGUGAAAACUAGCAUGGUAGGGUUUUAUCAGAGUCCAAGUGACAUGAGGAAAGGAAAUACCCAACUCCAGCCUACUCUAACCUUCCAUGUGGCAGAAGGGAAAUACUGUUGACCUUGAACAACAUAGAUUUGAAGUGCAUGGGUUCACCAACUGAUGAAAUGUUUUGAAUAAAUAACCACAGUACCACAUGGUCCAUGGCUGGUCAAAUCUGCAGAUGAAGAAGUGUGGACUAUAGGCUGACUAUAGGACUUGAGCAUCCUCAAUUUUUGGUAUCCACGGUUGGUCCUGAAAUUAAUCCCCACGGAUACGAAGUUGUGAGGAUACUUAACUCACCCCCACUCUAGCCAUCUUGUCCCAGCUAAAUGGGGAGAAAAAAAAUCCCUGUGAAACACCUUGUGGUGUUUCAUAGUCCAGAAGCAAAGGAUAACUGAAAGACUGAGAUUUAGUUGUAGGAAUAUAGAAAGUUUCCCUUCCCUCUGCACCUCACUGCCAUAUUACUAAAGGCUUAUUUAUAAUAAUUCCUUUUGCUCGUAUUGUCAUUGCUCAACUCUCAAGAAAAACUUUGAGGCAUACCAAAAGCAAAACAAAAAAUUUGAAGAGACAGAGCAAGUAUCAGAACCAGACGUGGCAAGGAUGUGGGAAUUAUCAGACUGGGAAUUUAAAACAACUGUGAUUGAUAUGCCAAGGGCUCUCAUGGAUAAAGUAGACAGCAUGCAAGAACAGAUGGGCAAUGUAAGCAGAGAUGGAAGUCUUCAUAAAGAAUAAGAAAGAAAUGCUAAAGAUCAAAAACACUGCAACAUGAAUGAAAAAAGCCUUUGAUGAGAUUAUUAGUAGACGGGAUAUGGCAGGGGAAAGGAAUUUCUGACCUACAGGAUAAAUCAAUAGAACCCUCAAAAACUAAAAGGGAAAGAGAACAAAGGCCAAGAAAAACAGAACAGAAUAUCCAAAGACUGUGAGAAAACUAAAAAAGGUGUAGCAUACACAUAUUGGCAAUACCAGAAGGAGAGAGAAAGAGAGAAAAACCAGAAGAAAGAUUUGAGACAAUAAUGACUGAGAAUCUCCCCCAAAUUAAUGUCAGACAUCAAACCACUGCUCCAAGAAGCUCAGAAAACAACAAACAGGAUAAAUGCAAAACCAAACAAACAAAAACAAACAAACUACACCCCGGGAUAAAAAUUUUAAAAUACAUAAAAUCAAAGAUAUAAAAAAAUCCUGAAACAAGCCAGAGGGGGGGAAAGCCCAUAUCUCUGGAGGCGUAAAUAUAAGAAUUACAUCUAACUUCUCAUUAGAAACCAUGUAAGGAAGAAGAAAGUAGAAUGGCAUAUUUAAAAUGCUGAGAAAGGAAACCCCACCAAAUGAGAAUUCGCUACACUGUAAAAAGUAAAGAAGAAAUAAAAACAUUCUUAGAUAACAAAAAUUGAGGAAAUUUGUUGCUAGAAGACAUACUUUGCAGGAAAUAUAAAAAAGAAAAAACCUUCCAAGAAAAAAAACAAUAUAGUUCAGAUCCUUAGAUCUACAAAAAGAAAGUAAAUACAUGAAG